rnacentral:tRNA from 1 species
ACCUGGGUGGCUCAGUCGGUUGAGCAUCUGACUUCGGCUCAGGUCAUGGUCUCACGGUUUGUGGGUUCAAGCCCCGCGUUGGGCU